rnacentral:rRNA from 1 species
GAUGAACGCUGACAGAAUGCUUAACACAUGCAAGUCCACUUGAAUUUGGGUUUUUAACUUAGGUUUGGGUGGCGGACGGGUGAGUAACGCGUAAAGAACUUGCCUCACAGCUAGGGACAACAUUUGGAAACGAAUGCUAAUACCUAAUAUUAUGAUAAUAGGGCAUCCUAUAAUUAUGAAAGCUAUAAGCGCUGUGAGAGAGCUUUGCGUCCCAUUAGCUAGUUGGAGAGGUAACGGCUCACCAAGGCGAUGAUGGGUAGCCGGUCUGAGAGGGUGAUCGGCCACAAGGGGACUGAGACACGGCCCUUACUCCUACGGGAGGCAGCAGUGGGGAAUAUUGGACAAUGGACCGAGAGUCUGAUCCAGCAAUUCUGUGUGCACGAUGAAGUUUUUCGGAAUGUAAAGUGCUUUCAGUUGGGAAGAAACAAAUGACGGUACCAACAGAAGAAGUGACGGCUAAAUACGUG